CCUACGGGAGGCAGCAGUGGGGAAUAUUGCGCAAUGGGCGAAAGCCUGACGCAGCGACGCCGCGUGAGGGAUGAAGGUCUUCGGAUCGUAAACCUCUGUCAGCAGGGAAGAACGGUCACUGUGCUAAUCAGCAGUGAAUUGACGGUACCUGCAAAGGAAGCACCGGCUAACUCCGUGCCAGCAGCCGCGGUAAUACGGAGGGUGCGAGCGUUAAUCGGAAUUACUGGGCGUAAAGCGCUCGUAGGCGGUAUGUCAAGUCAAGGGUGAAAUCCCCGCGCUCAACGUGGGAACUGCCUUUGAAACGGGCAAACUGGAGUGUGGGAGAGGAUAGUGGAAUUCCAGGUGUAGGAGUGAAAGCCGUAGAUAUAUGGAGGAACAGCAGUGGCGAAGGCGACUAUCUGGCACAUAACUGACGCUGAGGAGCCAAAGCGUGGGUAGCAAACAGGAUUAGAUACCCGUGUAGUC
rnacentral:rRNA from 1 species